CCCAAAGUCAGACUAUUAUAGAUAGGUUUCUCUUUUUUUAAUUAAUUAACUAAUUAAUUAAUUUUUACCAGAGCACUACUCAGCUCUGGAUUAUGGUGGUGAGGGGAGAUUGAACCUGGGACUUUGGAGCCUCAGACACAAGAGUCUCUGCAUAACCAUUAUGCUAUCUACCAUUGCCUAUUUUAUUUUUAUUGUCAUUAGGGUUAUCACUGGAGCUUGGUGCCUGCCAACGAAUCUAACAUUCCGGUCAGCCAUUUUUUCCUUUUUUUCUUUUUUCCUUUAUUUGAUAGGACAGAGAAAGAGGGGGAGGAGAAGAUAGGGAGAGAGACACCUGCAGGACUGCUUCACUGCUCAUGAAGCUUCCUCCUCUGCAGAGCCUCCUGGGAUGCUGCACCAGAUAUCCUAAGUACCUGAAUAGCUGUGACCUAGCCUGUGAGGUGCUGUGUGAUGACAGCAUGCAGAAUGGAACUAUGUGUCUGAGGUUCUCACCAAGAUGCAGAAGGUAAGAGCCCAGCAGUGAGGACCAGGUGUGAAGAGCCUGUUCUGGGUCUACUAGUAGCCUUUGGCCCUUCCAGGACACUAACACUAGCUAUGCCUCUUUCAAGGCACAGCUGUCCUUUUUUUUUUUUUUUCCUUGCUGCAGAAACCCAAGAGGAAGAGAGAGGUGAUUAUAGUAGGUUAGAAUACAGGAAGGCUGUUUGGUUAAAGUGCUGACAACAUCACAAAGCACAGUGACCCAGCAAAAGUCAACGUAAAGCUGUCCCACUGCUCCUGUUAAAAAUGGAAAAGGAAGUUCACACGCGCACAAGUAAAAACACACCAACCACAAAGUCAGUAUUAAUCACGUGGGAACACGGCACAAGAUACAAGGCGCAUUAGCCCCCAAAACCUCACCCCCCAACGAGGGCAAGGAUUCACCCAGCUGUAAGCAGCUGAACAAUACAUUUUCUUUUGCAGACUGUUGAAUAUAGAUUAUCCAGUAGGUAACACAUCAAGUAGAAAGCUUUAAGAAGAAAAAUAGACCAAGUCUCAGCUCCACACAGGGAGUAGAAGCUGAGUGAGAAUUUGCCUUUAAAUCAGAGAAUGAAUUGGCCAAGAAUCUAAGGACUCUAUCCUUUAUAGCUGACGAAUAGCUAAUUCAUCAGGGCCUAGGACAUGCACACGGGCAGAUAUUCCAAUAGCACCUGUGACAUAUGUAUCUUAAAAACAUAGCCAAUAUCAGGUAACUAAGAAAAAGAUGUUACAUUACCAUGACCAAUCAUUUUUAUCACUGGGCUAGAAAACUGACUAAUUAUACCAAAGAAAAUGCAUUAGUUUUACCAAGGGUAACUUUGUUAAAAGAUCUUAUAAUCUCCCAAGGCUACAUAUAGCACAUUUAGAUAAUAAAGAUUGUGAAAAAGGUGGUUAAGUCUCAUUCAUAUCUGUUUACAGCCCCCAAGAUGUGAAUUAUUGAGACAAGUAAUGAAACAGGCUCAACAUACUUAUGAGUAAAUAAAUACUCAAAGUCAGAGUCAUAGUUACAGGCACACUGCAUAAAAGUACUAAGCUAAGGCUUCAUGAUAAGAACAUUUUAAGAUAACAUUUGACUUAUUGGAGAGAACAUGAAUAGCCCAAGAAUGGGUUAGUAAUGACAA